rnacentral:rRNA from 1 species
UACGUAGGUGGCAAGCGUUGUCCGGAUUUACUGGGCGUAAAGAGCGCGCAGGCGGUCGUUCAAGUCGCGUGUGAAAGCCCCCGGCUCAACUGGGGAGGGUCACGCGAUACUGAUCGACUCGAAGGCAGGAGAGGGAAGUGGAAUUCCCGGUGUAGUGGUGAAAUGCGUAGAUAUCAGGAGGAACACCGGUGGCGAAGGCGGCUUGCUGGGCCUUACCUGACGCUGAGGAGCGAAAGCGUGGGGAGCGAACAGG